UACGAAGGGGGCUAGCGUUGCUCGGAAUCACUGGGCGUAAAGCGCACGUAGGCGGCUUUCUAAGUCAGGGGUGAAAUCCUGGAGCUCAACUCCAGAACUGCCUUUGAUACUGGAGAGCUUGAGUCCGGGGAGAGGUGAGUGGAACUCCGAGUGUAGAGGUGAAAUUCGUAGAUAUUCGGAAGAACACCAGUGGCGAAGGCGGCUCACUGGCCCGGUACUGACGCUGAUGUGCGAAAGCGUGGGGAGCAAACAGGG
rnacentral:rRNA from 1 species